rnacentral:rRNA from 1 species
UGAGGAACAUGACUUUCGGUGGGGGAGUAGCCGGCCCAACGGCCGGGUAAUACCGCGUACGACCAUUUGGGGACGAUCCCUGAGUGGUGAAAGCAGCAAUGCGCCGAUGGAGUGCCUCGCGGCCUAUCAGCUAGUUGGUGAGGUAACGGCUCACCAAGGCGACGACGGGUAGCUGGUCUGAGAGGAUGGCCAGCCACAUUGGGACUGAGACACGGCCCAGACUCCCGUAGGGACGG